rnacentral:lncRNA from 1 species
AGGUAGCAAGUUAGUUGCCUGGGAGAGCCAUGUUGUUUGUUGCUCAAUGAAAGAAAAGAAAUUGCCCAAAAUCCAAGUUGACAAGAUAAUGCCAUUUACAAAUGGUGCACAAAACCCGCAGAGAUCAUCAACUUAGGGCACCAAGAUUUACACUUUAAUCAUCAGCAAUUUAUCUUACUGAUAACUCAAUCAACUUGGAUAUUUCUCACCAUUGACUUAAGAAAGCAGAGCAGACACUGUGCUGGGGACUUUGAGCAAUGCAGAGGAAUGGAGAAUGCCCCCCAAGAACUUAGAAGAGAUGGACAUUUGCAUUAUUCUCUGUAAUGACUGCACAGUGUGGUUGUGUUUGCUCCAGGUUAUCGGCAUUGUGCCUGCACUGAAUAAAAACAAGCAGCUCCAACUUCUCAGGGCUGCUCUCUGGCCACUAGAGCCAGGCAGUCACCUAGCUGCUGUUAUGCUGCAUACCUGUCUCUGAGUACUCGCUUCAUCCAUCGGCCAGGGUCUGUGGGACAGACCAGGCAGGUGGUGCCCCAUGUGAGGAACGCUGCAAUGGAUUGCAAGGGAACCCCUGAAAACAAAUGUGAAGUGACUGAGCAGUGUUAACCUUAGAAGACUAGAACCUAAUGAGUUAUGGCAAACAGAUGUUAUGCACGUCCCUGAAUUUGGAAAACUAAGGUCCUCUUUGGAUUCCAGCACGAGGCAUCAAACCAUACCAUGGCAUGGCUAGGACCCAACCCGGUACCAAAAUGAAGAAAAUGACCCUACAGGACCCACAAUCCCGGAUGAUGUGGCUUCCUUGGAUGACACAGGCCCUGGACAUUACCUGGGGGAUGCUGAAGAAGACAACUCAGGAGGCCAAGCAAAUCCUGCUCCAGGCACAGACACCAUUCACUCCAGGAAGCUGCCAUUCAUUCGACAUAAGUAGGUGCUUCAUCUGAUAAGCGCUGCUUGUGUAAUUUAUCAAUGACAGAGAAGGCAGAUAGCAGCAUGCAUACUUGGGGCUGCAUUUGAAGGAGAGCAACAUCCCUUUGUUUUCACAGAGGAGAACAAGCAUGAGUUGAGAUUGUGGUGCUUCUUGAAGUCUCAUCCAGAUCAGAAACCUGCUGCUCUGUCCACAUUCCAUCCACCAAAGCAACCCAUAUGGCCAUGUCCAGCAUCAGAUGGGGAAAGGCAGUUCUCCUCUAGCACGAGGAGCUGCAAAGCCACAUGGCAAAGGAUGAGUGUGUAAAAAAUAAAUGCAGGAGGGCAGGAGGCAUUGGGAACAAU